rnacentral:rRNA from 1 species
AGAACGAACGCUGGCGGCAUGCCUAACACAUGCAAGUCGAACGAGACCCCGACUUCGGUCGGACGUCUAGUGGCGCACGGGUGCGUAACGCGUGGGAAUCUGCCCUUGGGUGCGGAAUAACAGUUAGAAAUGACUGCUAAUACCGCAUAAUGACUCCGGUCCAAAGAUUUAUCGCCCAGGGAUGAGCCCGCGUAGGAUUAGCUUGUUGGUGAGGUAAAAGCUCACCAAGGCGACGAUCCUUAGCUGGUCUGAGAGGAUGAUCAGCCACACUGGGACUGAGACACGGCCCAGACUCCUACGGAAGGCAGCAGUGGGGAAUAUUGCACAAUGGGCGAAAGCCUGAUGCAGCGACGCCGCGUGAGGAUGACGGCUUCGGGUGUAAACUCUUCAGCAGGGAAGAAGACGAAAGUGACGGUACCUAGCAGAAGAAGACACGGCUAACACGUGCCAGCAGCCGC